rnacentral:rRNA from 1 species
UACGAAGGUGGCAAGCGUUGUUCGGAUUUACUGGGCGUACAGGGAGCGUAGGCGGUUGGAUAAGCCCUCCGUGAAAUCUCCAGGCUUAACCUGGAAAGUGCAGAGGGGACUGUUCAGCUAGAGGAUGGGAGAGGAGCGCGGAAUUCCCGGUGUAGCGGUGAAAUGCGUAGAUAUCGGAAGGAACACCUGUGGCGAAAACGGCUCACUGGACCAUAACUGACGCUGAGGCGCGAAAGCUAGGGGAGCAAACAGG